GGUUGGUGGCGUACUUCCCUAUAGGGCGAAGUCAUCACGUCUGCGUUACGCAUACAGAUACCAGCCCGCCAAUGAGCGGGCUUUUUAUU
rnacentral:sRNA from 1 species